rnacentral:rRNA from 1 species
UACGUAGGUGGCGAGCGUUGUCCGGAUUUACUGGGCGUAAAGAGCGCGCAGGCGGUCGUACAAGUCGCGUGUGAAAGCCCCCGGCUCAACUGGGGAGGGUCACGCGAUACUGUUCGACUCGAAGGCAGGAGAGGGAAGUGGAAUUCCCCGGUGUAGUGGUGAAAUGCGUAGAUAUCGGGAGGAACACCAGUGGCGAAGGCGACUUUCUGGCCUGUUCUUGACGCUGAGGCGCGAAAGCUAGGGGAGCAAACGGG